GAAUCUUGCGCAAUGGGCGAAAGCCUGACGCAGCAACGCCGCGUGCGGGAUGACGGCCCUCGGGUUGUAAACCGCUUUCAGUGGGGACGAACCAAGACGGUACCCACAGAAGAAGGUCCGGCCAACUACGGGCCAGCAGCCGCGGUAACACGUAGGGACCAAGCGUUGUCCGGAUUCAUUGGGCGUAAAGAGCUCGUAGGCGGUUCGAUAAGUCGGGUGUGAAACCUCCAGGCUCAACCUGGAGACGCCACCCGAUACUGUCGUGACUAGAGUCCAGUAGGGGAGCGUGGAAUUCCUGGUGUAGCGGUGAAAUGCGCAGAUAUCAGGAGGAACACCAGCGGCGAAGGCGGCGCUCUGGGCUGGAACUGACGCUGAGGAGCGAAAGCGUGGGGAGCGAACAGG
rnacentral:rRNA from 1 species